rnacentral:rRNA from 1 species
GAGUUUGAUCCUGGCUCAGGAUGAACGCUAGCGGCAGGCCUAACACAUGCAAGUCGAGGGGUAGAGUUAGCUUGCUAACUUGAGACCGGCGCACGGGUGCGUAACGCGUAUGCAAUCUACCUUAUACAAAGGGAUAGCCCAGAGAAAUUUGGAUUAAUACCUUAUAGUAUGUUUGAAUGGCAUCAUUUAAACAUUAAAGUUCCAACGGUAUAAGAUGAGCAUGCGUCCCAUUAGUUAGUUGGUAAGGUAACGGCUUACCAAGACAAUGAUGGGUAGGGGUCCUGAGAGGGAGAUCCCCCACACUGGUACUGAGACACGGACCAGACUCCUACGGGAGGCAGCAGUGAGGAAUAUUGGUCAAUGGGCGCAAGCCUGAACCAGCCAUGCCGCGUGCAGGAUGACGGUCCUAUGGAUUGUAAACUGCUUUUAUACAGGAAGAAACACUCCCUCGUGAGGGAGCUUGACGGUACUGUAGGAAUAAGGAUCGGCUAACUCCGUGCCAGCAGCCGCGGUAAUACGGAGGAUCCAAGCCGUUAUCCGGAAUCAUUGGGUUUAAAGGGUCCGUAGGCGGUUUAAUAAGUCAGUGGUGAAAGCCUAUCGCUUAACGAUAGAACGGCCAUUGAUACUGUUAGACUUGAAUUAGUGGGAAGUAACUAGAAUAUGUAGUGUAGCGGUGAAAUGCUUAGAUAUUACAUGGAAUACCUAUUGCGAAAGGCAGGUUACUAUCACUAUAUUGACGCUGAUGGACGAAAGCGUGGGGAGCGAACAGGAUUAGAUACCCUGGUAGUCCACGCCGUAAACGAUGGAUACUAGCUGUUCGGAGCAAUCUGAGUGGCUAAGCGAAAGUGAUAAGUAUCCCGCCUGGGGAGUACGUUCGCAAGAAUGAAACUCAAAGGAAUUGACGGGGGCCCGCACAAGCGGAGGAGCACGUGGUUUAAUUCGAUGAUACGCGAGGAACCUUACCAGGGCUUAAAUGGGAGACGACAGUUUGGGAAACCAGAUUUUCUUCGGACGUCUUUCAAGGUGCUGCAUGGUUGUCGUCAGCUCGUGCCGUGAGGUGUCAGGUUAAGUCCUAUAACGAGCGCAACCCCUAUCGUUAGUUGCCAGCGGGUCAUGCCGGGAACUCUAACGAGACUGCCAGUGCAAACUGUGAGGAAGGUGGGGAUGACGUCAAAUCAUCACGGCCCUUACGUCCUGGGCUACACACGUGCUACAAUGGGCGGUACAGAGAGCAGCCACUACGCAAGUAGGCGCGAAUCUUCAAAACCGUUCUCAGUUCGGAUCGGAGUCUGCAACUCGACUCCGUGAAGCUGGAUUCGCUAGUAAUCGCAUAUCAGCCAUGAUGCGGUGAAUACGCUCCCGGGCCUUGUACACGCCGCCCGUCAAGCCAUGGAAGCUGGGGGUACCUGAAGUCGGUGACCGCAAGGAGCUGCCUAGGGUAAAACUGGUAACUGGGGCUAAGUCGUAACAAGGUAACC